CUCCGGAUCUUAUCGACUGCAAUAACUAUACUCUGAGCUUCACAGAACGUAAGUUCGUGAAUAUAGGUAUCAAUCUAACAGACACGUUCACUGUCAAAGUUCAGAUAAUAACUCCGUCACGAUACGUCAACCUAACACCGGAUGUUCUAUCGCAAAUAUUUUCACUGAUGGACGAAAUCCUAUCAAACAUACUCGACACGCCGAAAUACAAGUUACAUAUAUUUCUGGAAACAGCAAUAUUCAAGUUAUCGCGUUGUGUGUACAAAAAAGAAAACGUUCUUGUAAUAGAAUCAAAA